CCUACGGGAGGCAGCAGUGGGGGAUAUUGCACAAUGGGGGAAACCCUGAUGCAGCGACGCCGCGUGGGUGAAGAAGCGCCUCGGCGCGUAAAGCCCUGUCAGCAGGGAAGAAAAUGACGGUACCUGAAGAAGAAGCCCCGUCUAACUACGGGCCAGCCGCCGCGGUACGACGGAGGGGGCAAGCGUUAUCCGGAUUGACUGGGGGUAAAGGGGGAGCAGACGGCGAUGCAAGCCAGGAGGGAAAGCCCGGGGGCCAACCCCGGGACUGCUCUUGGAACUGCGUGGCUAGAGUGCAGGAGGGGGAGGCGGAAUGCCUGGUGUAGCGGUGAAAUGCGUAGAUAUCAGGAGGAACACCGGGGGCGAAGGCGGCCUGCUGGACUGCAACUGACGUUGAGGCCCGAAAGCGUGGGGAGCAAACAGGAUUAGAUACCCCAGUAGUC
rnacentral:rRNA from 1 species